GACGAACGCUGGCGGCGUGCCUAAUACAUGCAAGUCGAGCGGACGGAUGGGAGCUUGCUCCCAGACCGUCAGCGGCGGACGGGUGAGUAACACGUGGGCAACCUGCCUGUAAGACUGGGAUAACUCCGGGAAACCGGGGCUAAUACCGGAUAACUCUUUCCCUCACAUGAGGGAAAGCUGAAAGAUGGCAUCUCGCUAUCACUUACAGAUGGGCCCGCGGCGCAUUAGCUAGUUGGUGAGGUAACGGCUCACCAAGGCGACGAUGCGUAGCCGACCUGAGAGGGUGAUCGGCCACACUGGGACUGAGACACGGCCCAGACUCCUACGGGAGGCAGCAGUAGGGAAUCUUCCGCAAUGGACGAAAGUCUGACGGAGCAACGCCGCGUGAGUGAUGAAGGUUUUCGGAUCGUAAAACUCUGUUGUCAGGGAAGAACAAGUACCGGAGUAAUUGCCGGUACCUUGACGGUACCUGACCAGAAAGCCACGGCUAACUACGUG
rnacentral:rRNA from 1 species